AUUUCUGGUAAACUAUUCUUGAGAAGAAGAUGAGAAGAAGGCCUUCUUCAAGUCUACUCAUCAUUCAAAGACACCACUGUUCCUAGAUUAUGAACCAAAGCUUGGCUCAUAUCAGGCUGUAUAUUUCAGGCUGUAACUUUCAUCCACGAUUUUUGGGGCGGCACAACCUGAGGACAACUGGCAAACAAAAAGAAUCAAAGUAUUGUUAUAUGCAGAUGAUGUGCUCCUGUUGGUCAUUUAAGGCCCAGACCAUCAGUUACCCCGGGACCAGCUAGAGGUCUGAUGAUCGAGGUCAACAUUAAAACACUGUGAAGAUCCCAGUAAAGAUGGAAACUAUCCAUGAGCCUGUUCUCACCUGGAUGUGUGUACAAGGCUGGACUGUCGGCGUGAAGCCGUAGGUGAUGAAGAAAGAAAAUCAAUAGCAGUCAGAGAGUUGGUGCCUCUGGUUACGUCACAAGAUGGCGCCGGUGUUUGACCCAGUUUUGAAGACCAAACGUUGCACUUGUCUGCAUCAUGAUGUUAGUGAUAGUUCUUCAUGGAAACAGUUUUUUUUAUAUACUCUAUGAGUAUGUAAAGUCUUGGUUGACUCGAUGUUGGAGCUGUUUUUCUCCUGCCGUUAUUAAAGGGACGAUUAAUUGAACUCCCUUUGGCGACAAGUCAGCUGUGCAGAGAAAACCCACCCCCACAGCUUCAGCUGGAUUUAAGACCAGGUGGCGCUGCUGCAGUCUUCUGUCAUGAUGGCGUAUUGAACAUAUUCAUCUGCUGCUGCUGAAUCAAGGACAUUCCUUUUGUUCAGACAUAUUCUUCUGCAGCCCGACUUUCAACAGGCAGAUCCAAAAGCAAACACAUGACUAAAAUACAACUGAGAGCACGAAAGCUAGACCUGAAAAUGUCUGUUUACUGGUAGGAGCCAGUACUAAAUUGCAGACCUGUUCUCAAAGUGCCUUCAUUUCUUUGCCUGUAUUUCACAUUUUAGCACAAGUGUUGUUUAUACAGCAUAUCAUAUAUCAUCAUGAUGCCAUGCUGCAGACUGAUCUGCUCACUACAAGAACGGUGUCAAAUCUGAGAGAAAAUAAAUGCCUGUUUUAUGUCUCCAAUAUCACAAACUUAUAGCUCAGAAUUGUGAGGAGUUGACAGCACGUUUCUUGGUCUCACCAGGGGUCGCCACAUCAAGUCUGCCUCCUCCACCGA